UCAAUUGCGUACUUCAUUCUAUAACCAAUAAUCCAUGUCCAAAGCAAUCCAAACAUUACAUUUCAUUCAAUUUACAACUGCAAGCUCAAAGUUCAUGUUCCAAAUACAUAACUAUUUUAAAUUAUAUACUUCAAGGCAUUUUCCAUACAUCAAUUAUGCCAUUUCCAACAACGUACAAAUUUUCGACUCGAGCAUUUCUCAUUGAGCCAUUCAAACUUCAAAAUAACCAUACAUAUUCAAGUUUACCUUGCCAUGUACUCAAAUUACAACACAUAAACGCAUUCAUUUAACAAGUUCCAAAACAUAUUACAAUAUUCAAACAUAGCUAUAUCUACCAAGAUCAAUCCGGAACAUCCAACGCGGUCUCGUCUCCUUCCAAUGCACAUCUUCCCAUGGCUCAUUCCAAUGCACUCCAGGACAACCUACAACCUGUUGCAAAAAGCUGUUCUUUAGAAAUUUUGCAAAAAAGCUGUUAUGUGAAAAAUUUGGAAAAGUUGUUGUGUCAACUUGGAGCUUACACUGUUCAGUCUAUCCAUUUUGUUCGUGAUGGAAUAGAUCAGGCCCAUAGCAGAUCUGCCCACAACAAUGUCAUUACAAUUCGUAACCAAUCAUAACAACAACAGGGUAUAACAGAACCAAGAAAAUUCAGGGGAGUUAGAUACUUAGCAGAACAUCUCCACAACAAGAUUGAAUACAAGGCGUGUUAGAUACUUAGCAGAAAAUCUCCACAACAAAGAUUGAAUACAAGGCUCACAGAAGGAACAGUUUUCUCGAUCCUUAUACAAUAACUCCUCAUGUGGCCAUUCGGUCAACCUGCAGGAUUACGCAAUAAAAUCUUAUUAGCCACCAUAUCAAAGAAUACUACAAACAAAUAACAGAACGAUGCAUAUGAGAAUGACAUCAAAUCCCAAUCCUUAACAAAAUUUCUCUAAUCAAUUUCCAUUCACCACCUCUAACUAACAUUUCAACCUCCUAAUUGUUUCAACAAACUCUAACCGUCUUUCAACUAACCGUAACAAACUUCUCACAAAACUCCACACAAACUCUAAAAAAUUUGAAGGAAUGAAAAUCAUAACAUAAUUAGAGGCUAUAUAAAUGGAAACUUACUUCACUUCAUAGGCAGGAAUCUUUGGCCUGGAAAUUUUUCAACAGAAAUUCUUCACACCUUGAACAUCCUCUUUUUCCACCUCAAGACACCUGCAAUGUAUAACAGUUUUUUGCAUCAGUUAGUUUGAAUUUAAUAGUCAAUUCAUUAACUGGUUUUUUCCAAAGUCCAAAUCAACAUAGUCAUAACAGAGACUUCAACUAACAUCCAACUAAAAAAACUAACAUAACUGAUUCACUCUAACUAACUUUGGAUAUAACUAACAACUCUAACAAACUUAUCUAACGAACCCUUUUUAAGGGAACUGCUAACCCUCAAUUGACUGGAGCUAAGCAGGAUUUAACAGAGAUUAUCUCUGUUAAAUCCAACUGCUAUUUAUACACAUCCAUCAUUCACCAGGUAGUUUUAGAAUCGCCAUUUGCAAGAACCCAACACUCUACACUCUCAAUCUCUCUCCAACUCAGAGAGUUCUCUCAAUCUCACCUUCAAUUCUCAAUUUCGCGCAUACAAAAACCACGACGCAAGAUGACGCAGCGAUAGCACAGAAUCCACAGUUCUCUCAAUUCCUACAAUUUACAGAAGAAGUUUAGAAGAAGAAGAGGAUCAAAGGGAAGAGCUAGGAUUGAGAUUUACCUGAUUCAAGCAUUCUUCUGAUGCAUCUUCGUCUUCUCCGAUUCAACCUUCGCCAGAGGUAAAUCUUCUUCCUUUUCUUCUUUUCGUAAUAUUGUUACCAUGGUGUAGAGGAUGUUCUUGGCAUCAAUAGCCCUCAUCCAUGAGCGAGAAUCUAUGAGUGUGCACCAUUUAAUUUGACUUUGAUUAUCCUAGGGUUCUUCACCUUUUGGCUUUGGUUUGAACAACUCUGGUUGAAUCAGGAUUUUUCAUUGGGAUUUUUAGAUUUAGUGCACAGAACAGGGUUGGGUUUUAGUCUUGAUUGUUGUUUUGAUUUGUCUCUGCCGCCAGAUGAUGGCCUCCGACACGGCGGAGGGAGACGAGAGGGAAAAGAAUGGAGUUUUAAAUCUGAGCAGUGAGUGGUCCUUAUUCCAAUACUUCUUACGUAUUUAAUGGUUGGAGGCUGAUUAAUAUCCUCUUAAUCCCAAGGUUUAGGAGUUAAUGGCCAAUGUACCGUUUGUUUAACCCUAGGACUAGCUAGGUUAAUUUAAUUUUCCAAGGACGACUUGUGGCCUUCCAUUGAACCUGGCCGGUGGUGGAUCUGGUAGGCCUUUUUGGAGCGUUAGGCCCAGGUUCUUUUUGUAGCGUUUUUGUUGAGGCAGUUUGGAGGAUUGGGCCCAUCAGGUGGGCCUUUAUCUCAUCAGAGUGCAGACCCUAAGACUGUUGAUCGCAC
rnacentral:lncRNA from 1 species